UCACGCUUCCACGCGCAAUCGUUCGGAAGGCGCAUCGAGCGGGCCGAGGAGGCAACGUGGCUGCCCCGAGGCUGUCGUGGCAGGCCGGGAUCAUCUUCGCAGCAGGUAGCCUCCACGGUGGCGUGCUGGCUUCCGCGGUUCCCGGUGGCGAGCUACUGCAGGGUAACGCCGGGACAUGGGCUCAAGGUGGUGCCGUUCCGGUGCUGCUGCGCGCUGUCUCGCGGUUCCUACCCAUACCAGGGAGGCCAGGUCCUUCAGCGCUCGAUCUGCGACCGGAAGGGGCUCUGGUUCAUCGGAGACUUCAUCGGUGUCAGUUCACGAGACGACGACAAUGUAGCCGGGCAACACAUAGCCCCCUGGACUCACCGGUGAGGCGUGGGUAAAGCCCUCUGCCUGGAGGAGCUGACUCGGCCACCGGCUUUUCGUUGGCUGUUGUUCGCGCAUGCGCCUGCUGUCGCCUCUGCCACGGAGGGCCGCCCAGGGAAGCCACUCAAUCCAGCCGAGGUCAAAAGACGAGGCCAGCCCGUGGGAGCUCACGAAAGCCACACUGGAGAGCGCACAGGCUCAACUGACCACGGCGCUCGCGGAAGAGGGCGAGGGCGAAGCAGGGGGUUAUGGCCACGAAGUGGCGCCGGCGACGGUUGAUACACUCCAUCGGUGCUGGAACACCUUGAAUACAGCACGCCGAAAAUCCCAUCAUCAAUCAGGAGUGUUUCGGCCGCGCUGUCAUGAGACCCCAUCGUGCUGCAUUUCGCGUGUUCAUAGCGACGAACUAUCGGGCGCGGGUCUAGCCCCAUAUCCACGCGCAAUUUCUGCGUUUAUUUUCCGUUGCGACUACCGUUCGCUUUAAUUUAUAAUUUUAGCGUAUUUAAGUGUACCUAUUCGUUUUGCCCGCUAUAUACUUAUUGAUUUAUGC